rnacentral:rRNA from 1 species
GACGUAGGGCGCGAGCGUUGUCCGGAUUUAUUGGGCGUAAAGAGCGUGUAGGCGGCCAGAAAAGUCCGCUGUGAAAACUCGAGGCUCAACUUCGAGCUGUCGGUGGAAACUUUCUGGCUAGAGUCCGGAAGAGGAGAAUGGAAUUCCUGGUGUAGCGGUGAAAUGCGCAGAUAUCAGGAAGAACACCCGUGGCGAAGGCGGGUCUCUGGGCAACAACUGACGCUGAGGAGCGAAAGCGUGGGGAGCGAACAGG